rnacentral:sRNA from 1 species
UUUUUAUCUGCUUUUU